AGCCCAUCCCUCGUUGUAAAACUACAGCUUUGCCCUGCUCCAGAUUCCUUACUCACAUGAAGAAAUUUUCCUCAUCAAAUAAAACGGAUAAAUUACAUUUUCUGCCAUUUCCAGGAUCUAUAGGGACCCAUAGUCCAAAGACAGGUAAAAGACUACUUUGCGUUCACCAGUACACAAUCCCCAAGUCUCCUGCGAGCACCGUUUCUUUAGACGAAGAAGUUGGUGGAGAAGCCUGUCCUUCCCUGACACCGUCCAGUGAAAUGGAGGAAGACGAUCUUUUCUUUACUAUUAAUGAAAUGCAGAAGCCACCUAGACGACUGCCCAAGCAGACCUGGAUCAGCCCAUUUCUGGAAACGCAAGCUGCCAAUAAACUGCUUAAAAGAUCA
rnacentral:lncRNA from 1 species